rnacentral:rRNA from 1 species
GACUACUGGGGUAUCUAAUCCUGUUUGCUCCCCACGCUUUCGAGUCUCAGUGUCAGUUACAGUCCAGUGAGUCGCCUUCGCCUCCGGUGUUCUUCCUAAUCUCUACGCAUUCUACCGCUACACUAGGAAUUCCACUCACCUCUCCUGCACUCUAGUUACACAGUAUCACAUGCUCUUCCAAAGUUAAGCCUUGGUAUUUCACAUGUGACUUAUAUAACCACCUACACUCUCUUUACGCCCAGUAAUUCCGGAUAACGCUUGCCACCUACGUUUUACCGCGGCUGCUGGCACGUAGUUUGCCAUGGCUUUCUCAUAGGGUACCAUCACUUUCUUUUUCCCCUAUAACAGAAGUUUACAAUCCGAAGACCUUCUUCCUUCACGCGGCGUUGCUGGGUCAGGCUUUCGCCCAUUGCCCAAUAUUCCCCACUGCAGCCCCCCGUAGG